UCGAGAUUUUUAUGAAGGAGAUGGAUUAAUUUAACUGCCUCAAUUUUAGCGCGGGCUAAGUUUAAUUAAUUCAUCGAACUGUGCUGAUUUGGAAUGAACCAUCAAAGCUUUAUCAAAAUAAUUGCUUUUAAAAUGUAACAGAAAGCGGACUGCAGGAAGUUACUCUUAUUUGAAAAAGGCGCGGUAAUCGAGUCGUCUGCUAACCGGAAUAACUGAAUCAGGAUUCAGGAUUGCUGUAUUUGUAUAAUUGUAGGAUUUCUUAUUUGCUUUUGGGAUCGAUACCAAAGAUUUCAACUUUGCCACUCUUGCAUUUUUUUUUCUUUAAUUUUUAUAUUUUACAAGCCUUUUAAGUUUCUAGUCCCUAUUUUCAGAUAUGACUGUGCAUUAUAUAACACAUAAAUCCCAGAUA